CACGUAGGGUGCGAGCGUUGUCCGGAAUUAUUGGGCGUAAAGAGCUCGUAGGCGGCUUGUCGCGUCGACUGUGAAAUCCCGCGGCUCAACUGCGGGUCUGCAGUCGAUACGGGCAGACUGGAGUACUGCAGGGGAGACUGGAAUUCCUGGUGUAGCGGUGGAAUGCGCAGAUAUCAGGAGGAACACCGGUGGCGAAGGCGGGUCUCUGGGCAGUAACUGACGCUGAGGAGCGAAAGCGUGGGGAGCGAACAGG
rnacentral:rRNA from 1 species